UACGUAGGGUGCGAGCGUUAAUCGGAAUUACUGGGCGUAAAGCGUGCGCAGGCGGUUUUGUAAGCCAGAUGUGAAAGCCCCGGGCUUAACCUGGGAAUGGCAUUUGGGACUGCAAGGCUUGAGUGCGGCAGAGGAGACUGGAAUUCCCGGUGUAGCAGUGAAAUGCGUAGAUAUCGAGAGGAACACCUGCGGCGAAGGCGGGUUGCUGGGCUGACACUGACGCUGAACUGCGAAAGCUAGGGGAGCGAACGGG
rnacentral:rRNA from 1 species